rnacentral:rRNA from 1 species
UACGUAGGGCGCAAGCGUUGUCCGGAAUUAUUGGGCGUAAAGAGCUCGUAGGCGGCUUGUCACGUCUGCUGUGAAAUCCCGGGGCUCGACCCCGGGCGUGCAGUGGAUACGGGCUGGCUAGAGGCAGGCAGGGGAGAACGGAAUUCCCGGUGUAGCGGUGAAAUGCGCAGAUAUCGGGAGGAACACCAGAGGCGAAGGCGGCUACCUGGACAAUUGCUGACGCUCAGGCACGAAAGCGUGGGGAGCAAAAGGG